GAACGGUCUAUGAGAAACGCCUCUACAUAAUUCCCCAAAGCUAGUGCUUCUGGGGAUGCUUGCACAGCAGAGAACAAGAUGGGCCGUGCUGGGAGAGGACUGAGGCCUGGAUGUCCUUUGUGAUUCUCAGAAUGAGGGCAGUUCAUCCUAGGAAGAACUAGAAACAGCAGGGAUCAGGGUUCCCAUAGCAGUGGGACUGGCCACUCAAGAACCCAGGGAGA